CCUGUGGGUGGGCUGUGGGCCUGCGUGCUGCUUGUCAGGAUUUCUGCAGGAAGCAACUUCAGGGGUGCAAAGCACUGCCGUUCAUCUCAGUGUGUGUUGCAUCAGAAACUUGAUGAUAUCACUGUAUGCAACAUCUCGUCCAUCGCUCUUUUUGUUAUUAUUUGUUAUAGCUACCUUUAAAAAGCUCAGCCUUGAUUCCAAGGCCACCCUUUAUAGCAGGAAUACUCUGUAAGUCAGCAACCAAACUCUGAAAAAAUAGAUGACUGUUUUCUCAUUGCUUCCUACAAUAAUGCUCAUUCCUGUCCCAGUCAGCAACCUCCGAAUUCCCUUCCCCACACACACACAAAUUGUUCAAACUAUUUACCAGUCAGCUUUCAUCAAUGUAAUUGCUUUCCUAUGGAAAUGUUCACACCCUGAAGUGCUGUUCCCAAGUUUUAUAGCACACAGAACAUUCUCAUUUUCCCUGUUGUCAGGUAAUUUCUUCUUGCUCUAAGCCCAUUCUCAUUAUAGUUAAUACUGUUAGCAAUACAUACACUGGGGGAUUUAGACAAGGGAAACACACCAAGGUAGUACUGUAUAGACAGAUAGAUUUAAUAAUGGGAAUUUGCACUCACAUAAAAGAUCAGAACAACAGUGAAGAUGUGGAGGUUGUUCAGAUGCAUUUUUUAUUGAACUGUACUAAUUCAGAAUUCCUCGGGGUCUCCCAGGCACUGCUAACAUAGCAUCUAUCCUUACAGUUACAGCUUAUAACCCCACAUGCACUGGUGAGAGAGAGCUCAAACUUCCAUAUCACACAGGGGGGCAUCAAGAGGUGGCGAGGACAGGAUUUUGCAGUGCUUAGUUUUGGCCUAGUGCUAGCAGGCAGAUGCCUUGUAUCAUAGGACAAGUGUUGCUACAAAGGUCUUCUUGCCAUUCUUUGCUUGAAAGGCUGCUGUUACAGGAACUUGCUUAGGUUGGGAGGUAGAAGAAAGCUCCUUCACGUCUGAAGAUACUCUAUAUAGUAAAAUUCACUUUCUGCUGCCUGGCGAGAUUACCUGCAUCUCUGAACUGAGGAUCUGGCUCAUUCCAGCUGUAAAGGGGCCCACUACUGCCAGCAGGACAUGGAUGAGACCCCAGCCCAUGCUGCAGGAGUGCCCUCAGCACCACCUUCUGAUAUUCAGAUUCUCUUCUAACCUUACAAUACACAUAGCGCUGUGGGGGCCUGCAUGCAGCUUUGUAAUUUCCAUAGGGAGAUCAGCUUCAUUUAGCAUUGUAGUUUAAUUUGGAAACAAUAUGCAAGCAAUCUUGACCUCUUGCUUGGCUGUAUCACCUUGAUACAAGGUGAAACUGGAAAUAUAAAUAGUUACACACAGCAGAAAGCAACUUGGUUAUGUAAAAUGAAGAAAACACAACACACCACUACCACCCCCAGAAGAACAGUUGUAGCAGAAAUGCUAAGUCCAGGCCUGAAAAAGUGAUUGAGCACCUGGUGGGAAGGCAGGGCCAACCAGGGGAGCUCAGGUGCAAGCAAUGCAGCUGACUGCAAGAGGUGGAGCCAGAAUGCGCCUCUUACCAGACCUUAUUUAAGGGUUGGCAGUGGAGGUGAGGGUAUCUUGCUGGAGAUCUCUGCUACCUGAGGAUCUUUUGGGCCUUCUGAAGGUGGCGGCUUAGCACCACAGGAUAUCCAUAUUCUGUAGUGUGCUCUUGUGAAGUUGCCGCUGCUGAGGACUUAAGCGACUGCUGGCUGUGAUGGACGGGUUUCUGCUGGGCAUGUGGCUGAGUGCAGCUUGUGUUGCUUGGCCACCGUGGCCUCCUGAAGUUGUGAGGGUCUUCCAGCAGAGCAGUAGUUGACUGACAGGGAGAGCUUUUGACAGAUGUUUAUUGGUGACCUGAUAGGUCAGCUAGUGGUCCACAAAUGCUUCUGCAAAGGAAAGCAGUGUUUGUGGUUGGUUCCUUUUCACCAGCCUACUCUGUUGUGAGAGGAGCCUCUGCCAGCUGUGUUAAGUGAGAUGACUAAUAUCUGCCACAUACUCAUUAAACACUGUAUUUUUGAUA